CCCGGCUCCCCUCCCCGCUCCCCUCUCCCCCGGACCCGUCUGCCGCCGAGCCCAUCUGUUCGCCUGGAGAAGGCGAGGUUUAUUUUCUUCCCCCUGAACUAUAAAUAGACUUUUCAGCACCACUCCUGCUGCCAGCUCUGCGUCUGCACAUCCCCAUUUCCAUAAUUACCGCCGCGAAUCCCUAAUCCCGGCAGGAGCUGCGCAGGUUGGAGCAGCGGAGCCGGCUCCUAAACGGGCGUAAUUUGGGUUUUUAGUGAAGUGACAAAUCUGCAGGCGAAUCGCAGCGGCCAGCCGGGAACCUCCCGGAAUUCUCAGCCCCGAUUGCUCCGGAGCGCGGCGGUGACAAGUGAGGCACCCCGAAUCCCAUCGGGAUGCGGCCCCAGCCGCGUUCCCCAGCGCCCGGCUGGGAUGCCUGGGAGAAACGUGCUGCAAUCACCGUCGCUUUGAUUCCCGACAGAAGAAAGGAGCCAGCUGAGGGCUCCCGUGGCUGCUCCAGCAGCUCUGACAGCGAAUUCUCCUGCCUGGUGUCGUCGUUGUGGAAGGAAGCUGUAACUCUGCCCUGGAUGCGCUGCAGCUCCGGGAUGCUUCGGGAGCAGCCGGCCUUAGGAACCGGGCCCGGCACGCUGCACGCCUUCAUUUUGGGAAGGAGCUGCCUGGGCCAGGCUCCUCCCCGCGGCUCCCGACCCCACACGGUCACUUUUUGUCCUUUUGUCCCCCGGUUGCUGCGGCAGAGCCGUGGGGCAGCGGGAGGAAGGAGCCCGCAGGCCGGGGAUGCCGUUCCCCAGGAAAAGUCUCUUUUUGGGUAUUUCCAGCGCGAUGCUGCUGACCCGCAGACGCCUUGUUGGCCGCAGCUCCCAGACCUGUCAUCUUCCCACCUGCUCCCGUUUAAUCCUGCUCAGGGGGGAGCGUUCCAAGCCACCCCUCGCUCUCCUCCGCCAGCCCUUUAAUCUCGGCGAGGAGGGGAUUUUUCCUUUCCCUCUGACACGCCUGCCUCCCCUGUGAAAUGCAAAUUAAUUAGAUUCUAAUUACUC
rnacentral:lncRNA from 1 species